ACUGGCGGCCGUAUCACCCUGCAGCUCCCAACUGGCAACUCACUGCAGCUCAGCAGGUGUGAGCCUGGUCAGUACCUGGAUGGGAGACCUCCUGGGAAAGCUAAGGUUGAUGCUGGAA
rnacentral:rRNA from 1 species